rnacentral:lncRNA from 1 species
GGCUUCACCCUCUCAUCCUACUGUGUCAGAGAUGGCAGUGUGGCCUGGGCUCAAACUUGACUGCGCUGCUGCCAAAGAAGAUCAAGCUCACUCCCAAAGGACUACUGCGGAACAGGCCUGAUCAGAAGGAUUGAAUGAGAAAAAUAAACUCUCCUGUUGCGCCCACCUUGGCCGGCAAGGAAGACACAACACGGUCGGAUUCUUCUCAACAGCCUUUAUUGCAGGAACGCCUCGAUGCUGCUACGGGGACCCCGGGAACCCAGGGAGAGACUUGAACCAAUCCAACCUCACAGUGAUCAAGGAGCCCUGUCUAAGAAUAUCCCCAAGUCCCAGCCUCUGCCGAACCCAAGAAUACCAGGCAGGAAAAGAACCAAAGUAUGAGCAAUGGUCAGAGACCACAGCCACCCAAGGCCUGUCUGUGCUGAGAGGCCAAACCUACUCCAUCUUUGGACCGGCCUCCAUCAUAAGGAAAAGAAAAGAGCCUGAGACUUGGAACACAGCUGAACCCAAGCUACACCCACAUACCAGAAAAGACACUACAGCUUGUCCUUGCCAGAGUUUCUCCCUAGCUACUUUCUCACCACAGUCAAUCAAAGAUUAUUCUGAUUAUUUCAGAUUUACUUUAGAUCAUUCAGUGAUUGUAUAAGGUCUUGCUUCAGGGCACCCACCUGUCAGGUUAUAGUCAUUCUAUUAGAUGCUUACCACACUAGACAACACCCCUCACCCUCUCACUUGCUCCAUUUUUCCUACAAAAAUUUGUCCUGCUGAGGAUUCAGGGCUGUUCUGCCCUCCCUCCUGUCCUGCUGUGUCAGAGCUGGAUUGGAGGAGAGCCCAAGUCAGAGCAUGUAAUAAAGAGACCCUAAAGCUAUUACA